CUAAGGUCCGUAGUCGAAAGGGAAACAGCCCAGACCGCCAGCUAAGGUCCCUAAGUCAUGGCUAAGUGGAAAAGGAUGUGGGAAGCCCAAAACAACCAGGAGGUUGGCUUAGAAGCAGCCACCCUUUAAAGAAAGCGUAACAGCUCACUGGUCUAGUUAAGCCGUCCUGCGCCGAAGAUGUACCGGGGCUCAAGAUGUGUACCGAAACUGCGGAUUCAGAUCUAUGAUCUGUCUGGUAGCGGAGCGUUCCGUAAGCCUGCGAAGGCGAACCGUGAGGUUUGCUGGAGGUAUCGGAAGUGAGAAUGCUGACAUGAGUAGCGAGAUGAGGGUGAGAAACCCUCACGGCGAAAAUCCAAGGGUUCCUGCGCAAGGCUAAUCCGCGCAGGGUGAGUCGGCCCCUAAGGUGAGGGCGAAAGCCGUAGCCGAUGGGAAUCAGGUUAAUAUUCCUGAGCCUGCUGGUGGUGACGAAUACCGUAAGUCGUUCCUCCUUAUCGGAUUGGUAGGGGCGGUGAAGGUGUUCCAGGAAAUAGCCCCAGCAAUAUAGACCGUACCCGAAACCGACACAGGUGGGCAGGUAGAGUAUACCUAGGCGCUUGAGAGAACGGUGUCGAAGGAACUCGGCAAAUUGACCCCGUAACUUCGGGAGAAGGGGUACCUCCCUUUGGGCAACCAGAGGGGGGUGGCACAGACCAGGGGGUAGCGACUGUUUACUAAAAACACAGGGCUCUGCUAAGUCGCAAGACGAUGUAUAGGGUCUGACGCCUGCCCGGUGCCGGAAGGUUAAGAGGAGGGGUGCAAGCUCCGAAUCGAAGCCCCGGUAAACGGCGGCCGUAACUAUAACGGUCCUAAGGUAGCGAAAUUCCUUGUCGGGUAAGUUCCGACCCGCACGAAUGGCGUAACGACUUCCCCUCUGUCUCCAACAUCGACUCAGCGAAAUUGAAAUCUCCGUGAAGAUGCGGAGUACCCGCGGUCAGACGGAAAGACCCCGUGCACCUUUACUACAGCUUUGCAGUGGUAUUAGGGGACAAAUGUGUAGGAUAGGUGGGAGACUUUGAAGCUUCGGCGCUAGCCGGGGUGGAGUCAACCUUGAAAUACCACCCUUAUUAGUUUGAGGUUCUAACCUCGGACCGUGAACCCGGUUCAGGGACAUUGUCAGGCGGGUAGUUUGACUGGGGCGGUCGCCUCCAAAAAUGUAACGGAGGCGCGCGAUGGUUCUCUCAGGCUGAUUGGAAACCAGCCGUCGAGUGUAAAGGCAUAAGAGAGCUUGACUGCGAGACUGACAAGUCGAGCAGGUGGGAAACCAGGUCUUAGUGAUCCGGCGGUUCUGAAUGGAAGGGCCGUCGCUCAACGGAUAAAAGGUACGCCGGGGAUAACAGGCUUAUCGCCCCCAAGAGUCCAUAUCGACGGGGCGGUUUGGCACCUCGAUGUCGGCUCACCGCAUCCUGGGGCUGAAGCAGGUCCCAAGGGUUGGUCUGUUCGCCCAUUAAAGCGGUACGCGAGCUGGGUUUAAAACGUCGUGAGACAGUUUGGUCCCUAUCCGUCGUGGGUGCUGGAUAUUUGAGAGGAGCUGUUCCUAGUACGAGAGGACCGGAAUGGACGAACCAAUGGUGUUCCAGUUGUCGCGCCAGCGGCAUUGCUGGGUAGCUAAGUUCGGAAUGGAUAACCGCUGAAAGCAUCUAAGCGGGAAGCCAACCUCAAGAUAAGAUAUCCCUCUGUAUGGCAACAUACAGACUAAAGACCCCUUGUAGACUACAAGGUUGAUAG
rnacentral:rRNA from 1 species